rnacentral:rRNA from 1 species
UCCCAGUUCGGACUGGAGCUGCAACCCGACUCCACGAAGUUGGAUUCGCUAGUAAUCGCGCAUCAGCCAUGGCGCGGUGAAUACGUUCCCGGGCCUUGUACACACCGCCCGUCAAGCCAUGGGAGCCGGGGGCGCCUGAAGUCCGGGACCGCGAGGACCGGCCUAGGGCGAAACUGGUAACUGGGGCUAAGUCGUAACAAGGUAGC